CCCCACUCAGAAUCAUACCUGGAGAGUUUCCAGUACUCUAGCAGUCUUGGCUAUAGGAGGGAGAAUCAAGCAGAGGCCUACCCAUUCCAUUCCAUUCCUAGCUUGGGCAGUGGCUAGUGAAUGGAAGGCAAUCUGCUACAAGU
rnacentral:snoRNA from 1 species